GACGAACGCUGGCGGCGUGCUUAACACAUGCAAGUCGAACGGUAAGGCCCCUCUCGCGGGGUAGUUGAGUGGCGAACGGGUGAGUAACACGUGAGUAACCUGCCCUUGACUUUGGGAUAAGCCCGGGAAACUGGGGCUAAUACCGGAUAGGAGCUCCUGCUGCAUGGUGGGGGUUGGAAAGUUUUGGCGGUUUGGGAUGGACUCGCGGCUUAUCAGCUUGUUGGUGGGGUAGUGGCUUACCAAGGCUAUGACGGGUAGCCGGCCUGAGAGGGUGACCGGCCAACACGGGACUGGGGACACGGCCAAGAUCCCACCGGGAGCAAGCAGUGGGGAAAAUGCCACAUGGGUCGAAACCUGAAGCAACACCCUCGCCGUCGGGGAGGCUGCCCUGGGGUUGUAAACCGUCUUCGCUCAUGACGAAGCUUUGUGUGACGGUAGUGGGUAAAGAAGCACCGGCUAACUACGUG
rnacentral:rRNA from 1 species